rnacentral:rRNA from 1 species
UACGGAGGGGGGCUAGCGUUGUUCGGAAUUACUGGGCGUAAAGCGCACGUAGGCGGCUUUGUAAGUUAGAGGUGAAAGCCCAGGGCUUAACCCUGGAAUUGCCUUUAAGACUGCAUCGCUAGAAUCGUGGAGAGGUGAGUGGAAUUCCGAGUGUAGAGGUGAAAUUCGUAGAUAUUCGGAAGAACACCAGUGGCGAAGGCGACUCACUGGACACGUAUUGACGCUGAGGUGCGAAAGCGUGGGGAGCGAACAGG